GAUGAACGCUGGCGGCGUGCUUAACACAUGCAAGUCGAACGGUGAACACGGAGCUUGCUCUGUGGGAUCAGUGGCGAACGGGUGAGUAACACGUGAGCAACCUGCCCCUGACUCUGGGAUAAGCGCUGGAAACGGCGUCUAAUACUGGAUAUGUGACGUGACCGCAUGGUCUGCGUUUGGAAAGAUUUUUCGGUUGGGGAUGGGCUCGCGGCCUAUCAGCUUGUUGGUGAGGUAAUGGCUCACCAAGGCGUCGACGGGUAGCCGGCCUGAGAGGGUGACCGGCCACACGGGGACUGAGAGACGGCCCAGACUCCUACGGGAGGCAGCAGUGGGGAAUAUUGCACAAUGGGCGCAAGCCUGAUGCAGCAACGCCGCGUGAGGGAUGACGGCCUUCGGGUUGUAAACCUCUUUUAGCAGGGAAGAAGCGAAAGUGACGGUACCUGCAGAAAAAGCGCCGGCUAACUACGUG
rnacentral:rRNA from 1 species